UUGGGCUACCGUAAUCUCUCUUUUUGUAUCCAUAAUACAGCUCUCACUUUUUAUACCCCUGAGGGAAAAGAUUGAAAAAACCGACGGGCGAGCACCUCUCCGAGCGCGGGCGAGAUUUCUUUUGAGAUCCAAUCGAUCGCCGGAAAUGCCUGUGAGAGUGGUCGAGAGCUCGACUACUUCGCAAGUUUCAGGACAAGAUGCAAGUUCUGGACAUUCUCUACCUCCUGCUUGUACACUUUUAAGUGUUGGACGGGCUUUUGCGGGAACUCAGAAUGUUUCGAGUUUACAGAAAGAUGAAGCGUGGAAAGUUAAUGUAAGGAUCCAAGGAUGUGAUCUUGAUAAUGGUUAUCUAUGUGGUACGAUGGAGGCACUCAAUGUUCCUUUAGCGGACACACCUGUAGUUACAUUCUGGGAGGGAGAAAUUGUUGACAAUAAGAACUAUACAUUUUUCACUGGCAAGUGGGAAGCAACGCCAGAGGAUGACAUAAGGCACUGGUCCAAGUUUCCAUCUUUUGCUCCACUUCUGAGCCAGGUUGAGGCUGAUGGUGGUAAAUCUUUGGACCUGAGCAACUACCCUUACAUAUUUAUGAGAUGGAAGGAGCAGUACUUUGUUAAUGUUGGAAUAGACUGCGGCUUGACUAUUGCUGGCUUCUAUUAUGUUUGCUUUUCCUGCAGUGAUGGCUCUAUUAAUGGCUUUUAUUACGAUCCAAACAGUAGAUUUGACAUUGUUCUCACAAAUUUUUGGUUGACAAACUGCAGCCCAUUUCAGAAGCUUGAACUAAAGUGCAGCAAUGAGAAGCACUUAGGUUUCACUUUUUCUUCAUAUCAGUUACAGUGAACCAAUUUUCUUGAUCAUAAAAAGCUAUCUGUGCGUUAGUUUCCAUCUUCUGGUUACUGUAACAGUUUAAUCUGCUGAUACUGUUUAGGCUUUUGGAUCUUUGAACAGCAAUCUUGUGUCACCAAAUGAUAAUUAUAUUUAAAACCACUUCAUCUCUUUUACCGGGCAUUCCAAACUUCAUGUUUUACAUUUCUGAAGAUUGCCCACUACGUGCAUCCAAUGAACCUUGUGACAGGGAAGCUCCUAGUGGGAGAUUAAUAUGAUUGAGGUUCGUUCCUAUGGUAUGUUUUGAUAGGAAAGUGCCAGCCCGAAACCAUUUUGACCAUUAUUAAAGCUGCAAAAUAUUAUUAAUGUAAAACAUAAGAAUUGAUCCAUAGUAAAAUUAAUAUGUUAUAUUAACUGAUAUUGACUGUUAUUGCAGUAAGUAAUGGGCUCUAAUAUGUAGCAGCAUUGUAUUAUUUUUAGUACUUGACUAUACAUGCAAAGGAAACAGAAAAUUAAUAUCAGCGUCUGGCAAUGCACCCACUAGUAUGUAGCACAUUCUAUUUGCAUUGCCAUGUCAAGGGAAGGAGUGUCUGCUGGCUAGCUGUGAUCUUCCUAUCAGCAAGUAUAAUUUUUGGAAUCAUGGGUUGCCAUUGAAUUUCCUUUUGUGUGCAUUAAUAUGUAUUAGCUGAAGAGAGAGCAUUGAAAUGGUUGCAUCACAUAAACAGCGAGUGGCUUUGCUUGGAAAGGAUGUUAGGCAGCUUCCAACUUACGGUGUGACAGAUGGCCAUUUUAUAGCAUACACUUCGAUGAUUCACCUGACCAUUAAGAUCCAAUAAUGCAGACGCGUGUACUGGAAACUGAGAUGUGGUGAAAAUGAACUCGCUCUGCUGACUUUAUGUUGAUCUGCCGCCUCUCGUCCAUCUGAUUCCCACAGAAACCGAUAUGAGAUUGCCUGUUACAGAUUCUUGUUCUGUGAAGGGCUUAGAAAUAUAUGGCAGGUGUCAUAAGAUCAUGCAGCCUCCUGUGACGGAACGAGUGCUACUGCUGCUGCUCCUCUCCAGAAUAAGGCUGAGAUGUUACAAAGAUGUUACUGGCCACCCACCAGUUUCAUCGCUGCAGGUCAAAAUCCAAUCACCAGAAGCUAAAGGCUGAAACUUUAGUUUAGUGACCUGGGGUUAUCUUAAGGGCAUUGGCUUGCGAAGGCAUCUCGAGUGUAUCUCUGAAAUGUUUCUAUACUUGAAGAAUGCGCUUAUACGGGAGUUAGGAUCCUUUUUUUUUUGGGUCAAAAGUUAGGAUCCUUUUCAGUUUCGCGACUGAGCAUUAGUCCAGCUUUGACUUCAGUGCACUAUAACAUGUUUGGAGACCCAGGAUUCAUAUCAGAAUCUCAUAGCACACAAACACAGCAACAUUGAGAUAAAGGGAUAUCAGAAGAUCACCUACAAAAUGUUCAAAACCAGGAAAUUACUGCUACCCAACGUCCACUUCUUGAUGACCUGAACGGUGAUUUCCGCCGGUCCUGUUGAUAAAGUGUGCGUAUGUACAUGCCGGAGCCUCUCAGGUGGUGUAUGCUUGCAGUCUCCUUCCGCGAAUUUCAACAUCUUCUGCAAUUUAGUCUAAUUCACUGCAUUGCCAAAAUUUCUACCGUUACGUACUGCCAUGUACACACGUACCUGUACGAGGAUUCGUGGAGCCCGGGAUGGAUGACACAUGCGCUUGAAGAUUCGUGAAAACUGGGUUGGAUGACUCCGAUGCAUGAAGAUUUAUAGGAACUGGGAUGGGUGACACGUGUGCGUGAAGAUUUGCAGAAAUUGGGGGAGGUGCCUCGUGUGCAUGAGGAUUCGUAGAAACCGGGAUUGGUCCCUGACGUGCGGAAACUGGGAUUUGUGUCCCAUGUAGCUCUUCCCCUCCCCGCAAAGAAGAGGCCGCUUCCUUCACCUUCUCCGCUAUGCCCACUUCACCAGCCUUCCUCGGGCUCACAGCCUCUGUGAUCACCUGACAGAGUGCUCUAUCUUCUU